rnacentral:rRNA from 1 species
CUAGCUGUAAACGAUGGAUACUAGGCGUUGAGAGUAUCGACCCUCUCAGUGUCGUAGCUAACGCGUUAAGUAUCCCGCCUGGGGAGUACGCGCGCAAGCGUGAAACUCAAAGGAAUUGACGGGGGCCCGCACAAGCGGUGGAGUAUGUGGUUUAAUUCGAUGCAACGCGAAGAACCUUACUAGGGCCUGACAUGUCCGGAACCCUGCCCAAAGGCGGGGGUGCCUACGGGAACCGGAACACAGGUGGUGC